rnacentral:rRNA from 1 species
UACGGAGGGUCCGAGCGUUAAUCGGAAUUACUGGGCGUAAAGCGUGCGCAGGCGGUUUGUUAAGCGAGAUGUGAAAGCCCUGGGCUCAACCUAGGAAUAGCAUUUCGAACUGGCGAACUAGAGUCUUGUAGAGGGGGGUAGAAUUCCAGGUGUAGCGGUGAAAUGCGUAGAGAUCUGGAGGAAUACCGGUGGCGAAGGCGGCCCCCUGGACAAAGACUGACGCUCAGGUGCGAAAGCGUGGGGAGCAAACAGG